rnacentral:lncRNA from 1 species
GGGGCUUUCCGUUUUUGAAUUUUCCUCGGAGUUCAGUAUUUUUGUGAUAUUUUUUUUUCUAAUAGUGUAUAAUACGUCUACUAGUAUUUGAUUAUCUACAUUCCCUGGUCUGCAUAUUUCUGUGGUUUGUCUCAUGUAAGGUCUCAGUACUGGAUUUUUGUUCAGAUAUCUUUUGUUGCCAAGAAUUUAAGCUGAUGCAGGAAAGGAAAUUGUUGUCAUGCUUCUGAUCAACACAUAUUGCUGUCUGUAUGCAAAGAAAUCCGUACUUAACAUAAUAUUUGCUGUCUUCGAUUAAUUUAACA